rnacentral:sRNA from 1 species
GCCAGGCAUGGUGGCACAUGCCUGUAAUCCCAGCAGUUCUGGAGGCUGAGGCAGGAGACUCAUGAGUUUAAAGCCAGCCUCAGCAAAAGCAAGGCGCUAAGCAACUCAAUGAGACCCUGUCUCUA